rnacentral:ncRNA from 1 species
CGUCAGCAAUGACGGGUGAUGGGCGUGGAGAAGUCAGCAGAGGCCAUAGUAGUUGCCGCAAGGUGGCGAAGGGC